rnacentral:rRNA from 1 species
GAUGAACGCUGGCGGCGUGCCUAAUACAUGCAAGUCGAACGGACGGACGAGAAGCUUGCUUCUCUCAUGUUAGCGGCGGACGGGUGAAUAACGCGUGGAUCACCUCCCUAUAAUACUGAUAUAACUACGGGACACCGGCUCUAAUCCCAGAUAAUAUCUUGCACCACGUUGGUCGAAAGUGAAAUACGGUCUUGGGGUCACGUCUCGCUGGAUCCGCGCUUCAUGAGCUAGUUGGUAAGGUACAGGCCUACCACGGCAACGAUGCAUAGCCGAACUGAGAGGGGGAUCGGCCACAUUGGAGCUGAGACACGGUCCAGACGACUGCGGGAGGGAGCAGUAGGGAAUCUGCCGCAAUGGGCGAAAGCCUGACGGAGUAACGCCGCGUGAGUUAUGACGGUCUUGCGAUCGUAAAACUCGGUUACUGGGGAAGAACAUAUGUGUAAGUAAACGUGGAGAGCUUGACGGUACCGAAUCAGAAAGCAACGGCUAACUACGUG